ACCGUCUCGUUACACGUACCUUUGUCGCGUGUAUACACACACAUCCAACAUAUCCGUUCGCCGUUGGUCGAUCUCGCGCCGUCAUCAUCAUCAUUCGCCUCGUCCCAGUACUUGCGUUAUCGUUCAAAAGUCUCGUGCGCGACGAUUUCAUACUUCUCACGCAAAACGCGGUUUGUUGAUUCAUGUAAAAACCAACGAUGAUGAUGAUGAUGAUGAUGAUGAUGAUGAUUAGGUGCAGUUGAUACAGGGCAGUGGUGGCUAUUGUUCGUCUCCGCAAAAUAUAAGAAAGGAAGGAAGGAAGAACGGCCGCUCAACCACCGGGGAGCGGGACAGAAGUUUGACUUUCCGUUCACUCCAAGGUUUUCCCGCCCACUUUGGUUGUUAAGAGGACGUCAACUACAAAUGGUGACCAGAGUACAAUGGACGAAUACUUGAAAUCAAUUCU